UUUCUAUGAUGAUGCUUUUAGUGAAAGUGUCAGCUGAUAUGAAAGCACAGCUUGGAGUGAUGACAUGUCUCUGUUCUGUUUCCUUCUUUCUAUUCCUUUAGUUGUACACAAAGUAAAGGUUCACAUAGUCACUGCAGGAGAAACCUUUGGGGCUGACAAUGUUCUGCUGACGGACCUUGCGGGUCUACAGGUGGAGAGCACAGACCAGCAAGGAUGCAGCAUCAUCAUUCUUUUCUGUCCAAUCAGCUCUUGUGUUGGGUCAGACAUGAAGGCAGCUAUGAAGAAGGUGUCAGGUGACAAACCAGUCAUUCUGGUUCUGAUGCACCACACACGAAAUCCUGACUACUCAACAUGUGGGGAAAGCCAGUGUUCAGUCUAUCAGAACGUUGUCCUGGUUGUCCAUGUUCUCUUCCAUGAAAGUGUGAAAGGACUACUGAGAAGUUCAAAAAACAGUGAGGCAGUCCGACAGAUACACUAUAAACUACUGCAGUACAGUAGCAUUAGCAGGCUCAGAAAUGACCAGGGGACCCAGGAUAUGAGCCAAUCGUCAUGA
rnacentral:lncRNA from 1 species